rnacentral:rRNA from 1 species
UACAGAGGGGGGCAAGCGUUAUUCGGAAUUAUUGGGCGUAAAGGGCGCGUAGGCGGCCUUUCAAGUGACGGGUGAAAGCCCUCGGCUUAACCGAGGAACUGCCUGUCAGACUGGAAGGCUUGAGACCGGGAGAGGUGAGUGGAAUUCCCAGUGUAGCGGUGAAAUGCGUAGAUAUUGGGAGGAACACCGGUGGCGAAGGCGGCAUCCUGGACCGGUAUUGACGCUGAGGCGCGAAAGCCAGGGGAGCAAAGCGGG